rnacentral:rRNA from 1 species
AUUGAACGCUGGCGGCAGGCCUAACACAUGCAAGUCGAACGAGUGGCGGACGGGUGAGUAAUGUCUGGGAAACUGCCCGAUGGAGGGGGAUAACUACUGGAAACGGUAGCUAAUACCGCAUACCAUCGGAUGUGCCCAGAUGGGAUUAGCUAGUAGGUGGGGUAAUGGCCCACCUAGGCGACGAUCCCUAGCUGGUCUGAGAGGUUGACCAGCCACACUGGGACUGAGACACGGCCCAGACUCCUACGGGAGGCAGCAGUGGGGAAUAUUGCACAAUGGGCGCAAGCCUGAUGCAGCCAUGCCGCGUGUAUGAAGAAGGCCUUAGGGUUGUAAAGUACUUUCAGCGGGGAGGCGUUACUGACAGAAGAAGCACCGGCUAACUCCGUGCCAGCAGCCGCGGUAAUAC